GGGUUCCAAUUGGCCGCAAGCCGGCUGGAGGGGGUCAGGCCCGGCCCGGCGCUCGUUGCUAGGGGCGGCGGAUGGCGGCGGCUCCUCCAUGGGGCAGCGGCUGAGAGGGGACCGUGCAGCGGCGGCCGGGACGUGGGGCCUCCCCGUACCGGAGCGAGGAGCCUUGGAUGGGGGGAGGCCGAGUCCUCGGGAAAAAAGGGCAGAGAGAGAAAGAGGCUCGUACUGAAGCCAACCAGCUGCGCUUCUGAGUGGGGAACUGGACUGCGCUCAUGGCUUGCUUUUCAUUUCCUUUAACACAUCAUUAUCUCUGAAAAUGAACUUUUUUGUGAAGCUUUUCUCCUAACUCUUCUUCUUCCUCUCCUCACGAGGUGGCUGCUGUGCAAGGGAAGAAAUGGCAUGAAGGGACUGACUCCGGUGUAAAAGCAAUCUGCUUUGCCUAAGUGCCCAGUGAGCAGCACUGUCACUUUAAUAAUUCCAGGUCAAGGGAUUGCUUUCCUCGUUUUUUUCAAUCCUCUCUUUUAAUACAUGGGAGGAUCAGAGGGACAUUAAAGACCAUAAGGCUGGGUGGCUUGCAGAUAAUAAAAAUGAAAGUGACUGCCCAGUGACUUCUGUUGGGUAAGAGGGUGAUGUUUGAAGGCUGUUUGGUGAGGAAAAAAGGGACCUUUUCAGUCUGCUCUGUAGUCACCUAAUGCAUAGCUAGCAAAAUUCAUUCAAGAAGUGAAAGAAGUUAAAAGAGUCCCUUCGGAUUGGUUUUGUCUUCCGCCUUAUUUGGAUUCUUUGGGCGUUUUUGUCCUGCAGAUAAUGGUUUUGAGCAUGUACAGGUGGAGGAUUGAGACAGCUGCCUAGAGAUGGACUGUGCCUUAAUUGUAUUACAGGAAACCUUUUAAUUUUCAAACUUUGCUGCCAGAAGAGGAGUUCUAAUAAGGUUUUGUAUUGCCAAGGAACAGUUUCACUUGUAUUUUUAUAAAUUCAAAUAUAUUUUAAAGAAAUUGAAAACACCACUUAAAAAAAAUCAAAAAGCUUCUUUUUUCCUCCCCCCCUUUUUUUCCCCCCCUCGUUUAUGGGAAGCAUUGGAAGUCCAGUUCCAGAAAACAGCAAGUUUGGAUAGAAGUGAAGAUUGAAGCUGCAUUCCCUAACUGAACUGCACAAGUGGCUUGCAAUAGAUAGGCAGCUCCUGACCUCGCAAAGGGUUCCAGUAGUGCAUCGGUAAUACCUGUAAUAAAGUACUUGCAACCAGAUUCAGAAGUAGGAAGAAGAAUGCCAGUCAAGAAGAAAGCUCUACCACUGUGUUUGGUGUUCGUCAGCAGUAAUGAAGAUCCAUCCCAUUUGCGUUGCCUCACAUAUGCAGGGUGCCCAGCUUGUUGUCCUGGAGGGCUGCUUUGGCCAGCAGAGAGAAAUCCACCUUCAAAUGGCAUUUUAACCCACCUAAGAUCUCAGUUACCUUCUUCACAGCUGUAAUCUCUUUCCUUAUAGACCACAGAGUAACCACACUAACUCACUUGCCUCAGAUGAUGUCUCAGUCUCUGCUAUAAAUUUUAGUGGAAAAAGCAUCUCCUUAUCUGAGAUAUUUAUGAGAGCUGACGUGUGUUCUAUGGGUGCUAUAAAUUAACACUAUUCAUUAUUUUUAUGGGGGAAAAUAGUGUAAUACUGAAGGCAACCAUAGUGUUGAUACAGACACAGCAGGCAGCUGUGCAUCCUCUCCUCCCUUCCUAUUAGUGUGUAUUGCACUCAGUAGAAGUAAUGGUAUUUUGCAUUAUAAGCAUUUCUUUUUCCUCAUUCUCGUUUUCUUUCUGAAUUUGUACCAGAUGGCCAAGUUAAAUGUCAGGGGAUGACCAUGGAGAAAAAGCUGAAUUUGUAACUAGUGGCCAAAUGUUGUAAAAGAUGAUUUUGUGGACCCAACGUCAGCAAAAUGAGCAAAAUCUGCCUUACUCAGACCUGCUUGUUUUGUUUAGGUGAUGCCAGAUUCUUAUUGCUUCUAAGAAUUUAAGGUCUGGUUUUCUAUGGUAUCUUCUUGUAUUUGCUAUAGAUUAAAACAGUGCCCAAAACAUCUUUAGAAAACUAAAGAUCAUGCUUUUUCUUGACAUAGUCAUCCCAGAAAUAACCAAUGAAGCUGCCUUGACCUGGGUGGUUACCAUAGUAACCAGCAUCCAAAAUAAAUGGGGAAAAAAGUUUGCUUUUGAAUGGCUAUGGUUCAGAGGAGCUUUUGAGGGCAUUAAACUGUCUUCAGCAGGACAAGUUAGUGCAAAUGUCCUUAAGUCUGACUUCACUUUGGGAUUAAGAUGCCAGUGUUUCCUUCAAAACACAUCGGGGAACUGAAUCAUUUCCUGGAAAGAGGAAAUCUGGAUAAUUUAUAGUUUUACAAACAGAAACCAGUAUUUAGGUUUUAAAAGGCUCUUCUCUCCCCUGGCUGUAUGGUAUAUUUUGCAUUAUGCUGUAGUGGGAUAAUUCAAGUCGCCUUCCACUUCACACCUAGUUGUUCUCUACAGUAGUACUGCCUUGCAGUUGGAUGCCUGCUGAGCUGUGCUUUUAACACAAGUAUAACACAGAGGUUCUUAAAUUUAAAGUUCCAAUGUAAAUGUAAGAAAAUGUAAGACCAUGAUGCCUAUUUUGAUAAUAAAUAAAGGCAAGUUAAUCUCAUUCCACUUUUUUCAUCAUUAGAAAGAUGCUAGUGUUACUGAAUUUACUUCUACUUUGUUUUCUUUUAUACAAUAUAAUACUUUGUAUGAGUUUGGAAGUUAUUUAUUCCUGAGCAGACAUAUUUCUGUUAGCUUUCUGUCUCAUUCCAGCUUUCACAUUUAUGUUAAUUUUUAUGUUGAGUAUUCUCUUCAAGUAAAAAGAAAAAUAAAUCACAGCAGCUCUAUUA